GUAAGCUACUAAGAGCGAAUGGUGGAUGCCUUGACUGGUAAAGGCGAUGAAGGACGUACUAGACUGCGAUAAGCUACGGGGAGCUGUCAAGAAGCUUUGAUCCGUAGAUUUCCGAAUGGGGCAACCCAAUGUAUAGAGAUAUACAUUACCUAUAUAGGAGCGAACCGAGGGGAAUUGAAACAUCUUAGUACCCUCAGGAAAAGAAAUCAAUAGAGAUUGCGUCAGUAGCGGCGAGCGAAAGCGCAAGAGGGCAAACCCAGUGCUUGCACUGGGGGUUGUAGGACUGCAAUGUGCAAGAGGUAAGUUUAGCAGAACAUUCUGGAAAGUAUAACCAUAGAGGGUGAUAGUCCCGUAUGCGAAAAACAAACCUUAGCUAGCAGUAUCCUGAGUAGGGCGGGACACGAGGAAUCCUGUCUGAAUCCGGGUCGACCACGAUCCAACCCUAAAUACUAAUACCAGAUCGAUAGUGCACAAGUACCCGUGAGGGAAAGGUGAAAAGAACUGAGUGAUCAGAGUGAAAUAGAACCUGAAACCAUUUGCUUACAAUCAUUCAGAGCCCUAUGUAGCAAUACAGGGUGAUGGACUGCCUUUUGCAUAAUGAGCCUGCGAGUUGUGGUGUCUGGCAAGGUUAAGCAAACGCGAAGCCGUAGCGAAAGCGAGUCUGAAUAGGGCGCUUAGUCAGAUGCUGCAGACCCGAAACGAAGUGAUCUAUCCAUGAGCAAGUUGAAGCUAGUGUAAGAACUAGUGGAGGACUGAACCCAUAGGCGUUGAAAAGCCCCGGGAUGACUUGUGGAUAGGGGUGAAAGGCCAAUCAAACUUCGUGAUAGCUGGUUCUCUCCGAAAUAUAUUUAGGUAUAGCGUUGUGUCGUAAUAUAAGGGGGUAGAGCACUGAAUGGGCUAGGGCAUACACCAAUGUACCAAACCCUAUCAAACUCCGAAUACCUUAUAUGUAAUCACAGCAGUCAGGCGGCGAGUGAUAAAAUCCGUCGUCAAGAGGGAAACAACCCAGACUACCAGCUAAGGUCCCUAAAUCUUACUUAAGUGGAAAACGAUGUGAAGUUACUUAAACAACCAGGAGGUUGGCUUAGAAGCAGCCAUCCUUUAAAGAAAGCGUAAUAGCUCACUGGUCUAGUGAUUUUGCGCGGAAAAUAUAACGGGGCUAAAGUAAGUACCGAAGCUGUAGACUUGCACACAACUUAGAUUAUUUAAGUUUAGAAUAUGAGAAACUAAGUUAUAUGUUUAGUUAUAUUUUUACUGAUUUUUAUAGAGUAAAGAUAGAAAUAAAACUUAGUAAAAUCAGUAAAAAUAUUCUUAGACUAAAGUUAAGUAGUUUAAGUUGUGUGCAAGUGGUAGGAGAGCGUUCUAUUUGCGUCGAAGGUAUACCGGUAAGGAGUGCUGGAGCGAAUAGAAGUGAGCAUGCAGGCAUGAGUAGCGAUAAUUAAUGUGAGAAUCAUUAACGCCGUAAACCCAAGGUUUCCUACGCGAUGCUCGUCAUCGUAGGGUUAGUCGGGUCCUAAGUCGAGUCCGAAAGGGGUAGACGAUGGCAAAUUGGUUAAUAUUCCAAUACCAACAUUAGUGUGCGAUGGAAGGACGCUUAGGGCUAAGGGGGCUAGCGGAUGGAAGUGCUAGUCUAAGGUCGUAGGAGGUUAUACAGGCAAAUCCGUAUAACAAUACUCCGAGAACUGAAAGGCUUUUUGAAGUCUUCGGAUGGAUAGAAGAACCCCUGAUGCCGUCGAGCCAAGAAAAGUUUCUAAGUUUAGCUAAUGUUGCCCGUACCGUAAACCGACACAGGUGGGUGGGAUGAGUAUUCUAAGGCGCGUGGAAGAACUCUCUUUAAGGAACUCUGCAAAAUAGCACCGUAUCUUCGGUAUAAGGUGUGGUUAGCUUUGUAUUAGGAUUUACUCCGAAAGCAAGGAAACUUACAACAAAGAGUCCCUCCCGACUGUUUACCAAAAACACAGCACUCUGCUAACUCGUAAGAGGAUGUAUAGGGUGUGACGCCUGCCCGGUGCUCGAAGGUUAAUUGAUGGGGUUAGCAUUAGCGAAGCUCUUGAUCGAAGCCCGAGUAAACGGCGGCCGUAACUAUAACGGUCCUAAGGUAGCGAAAUUCCUUGUCGGUUAAAUACCGACCUGCAUGAAUGGCGUAACGAGAUGGGAGCUGUCUCAAAGAGGGAUCCAGUGAAAUUGUAGUGGAGGUGAAAAUUCCUCCUACCCGCGGCAAGACGGAAAGACCCCGUGGACCUUUACUACAGCUUGACACUGCUACUUGGAUAAGAAUGUGCAGGAUAGGUGGGAGGCUUUGAGUAUAUGACGCCAGUUGUAUAUGAGCCAUUGUUGAGAUACCACUCUUUCUUAUUUGGGUAGCUAACCAGCUUGAGUUAUCCUCAAGUGGGACAAUGUCUGGUGGGUAGUUUGACUGGGGCGGUCGCCUCCCAAAUAAUAACGGAGGCUUACAAAGGUUGGCUCAGAACGGUUGGAAAUCGUUCGUAGAGUAUAAAGGUAUAAGCCAGCUUAACUGCAAGACAUACAAGUCAAGCAGAGACGAAAGUCGGUCUUAGUGAUCCGGUGGUUCUGUGUGGAAGGGCCAUCGCUCAAAGGAUAAAAGGUACCCCGGGGAUAACAGGCUGAUCUCCCCCAAGAGCUCACAUCGACGGGGAGGUUUGGCACCUCGAUGUCGGCUCAUCGCAUCCUGGGGCUGGAGCAGGUCCCAAGGGUAUGGCUGUUCGCCAUUUAAAGCGGUACGCGAGCUGGGUUCAGAACGUCGUGAGACAGUUCGGUCCCUAUCUGCCGUGGGCGUAAGAAGAUUGAAGAGAUUUGACCCUAGUACGAGAGGACCGGGUUGAACAAACCACUGGUGUAGCUGUUGUUCUGCCAAGAGCAUCGCAGCGUAGCUAAGUUUGGAAAGGAUAAACGCUGAAAGCAUCUAAGCGUGAAGCCAACUCUAAGAUGAAUCUUCUCUAAGCUCUCUAGAAGACUACUAGUUUGAUAGGCUGGGUGUGUAAUGGAUGAAAGUCCUUUAGCUGACCAGUACUAAUAGAGCGUUUGGCUUAUCUUU
rnacentral:rRNA from 1 species